rnacentral:rRNA from 1 species
GACGAACGCGGGCGGCGUGCUUAACACAUGCCAGUCGAACGGAAAGGCCUCUUUCGGGGGGUACUCGAGUGGCGAACGGGUGAGUAACACGUGAGUAACCUGCCCUUGACUUUGGGAUAACUUCAGGAAACUGGGGCUAAUACCGGAUAGGAGCUCCUGCUGCAUGGUGGGGGUUGGAAAGUUUCGGCGGUUGGGGAUGGACUCGCGGCUUAUCAGCUUGUUGGUGGGGUAGUGGCUUACCAAGGCUUUGACGGGUAGCCGGCCUGAGAGGGUGACCGGCCACAUUGGGACUGAGAUACGGCCCAGACUCCUACGGGAGGCAGCAGUGGGGAAUAUUGCACAAUGGGUGGAAGCCUGAUGCAGCAACGCCGUGUGCGGGAUGACGGCCUUCGGGUUGUAAACCGCUUUCGCUCAUGACGAAGCUUUGUGUGACGGUAGUGGGUAAAGAAGCACCGGCUAACUACGUG